rnacentral:rRNA from 1 species
AGAGUUUGAUCAUGGCUCAGAUUGAACGCUGGCGGCAGGCCUAACACAUGCAAGUCGAACGGUAACAGGAAGAAGCUUGCUUCUUUGCUGACGAGUGGCGGACGGGUGAGUAGUGUCUGGGAAACUGCCUGAUGGAGGGGGAUAACUACUGGAAACGGUAGCUAAUACCGCAUAACGUCGCAAGACCAAAGAGGGGGACCUUCGGGCCUCUUGCCAUCGGAUGUGCCCAGAUGGGAUUAGCUAGUAGGUGGGGUAACGGCUCACCUAGGCGACGAUCCCUAGCUGGUCUGAGAGGAUGACCAGCCACACUGGAACUGAGACACGGUCCAGACUCCUACGGGAGGCAGCAGUGGGGAAUAUUGCACAAUGGGCGCAAGCCUGAUGCAGCCAUGCCGCGUGUAUGAAGAAGGCCUUCGGGUUGUAAAGUACUUUCAGCGG